rnacentral:tRNA from 1 species
GCCUUCGUGGUGUAAUUGAAAGCAUAUUAGACGUGUAUUCGAGAGAUCCAGAGUUCGAGUCUCGGCAAAGGCA